UGUGGAAAGUCAUAUUCAUCACAAUAAAGCCUUCAUUGAAAAAAUAAAUGAGGUAGAAAACGUAACAACGACAAAAAGCUGCCAUAUUACUCUUACAUCCAG